AAGUUAGAGGUGAAAUCCCAGGGCUCAACCCUGGACUGCCUUUUAAAACUGCUAGUCUUGAGUUCGAGAGAGGUGAGUGGAAUUCCAAGUGUAGAGGUGAAAUUCGUAGAUAUUUGGAGGAACACCAGUGGCGAAGGCGGCUCACUGGCUCGAUACUGAC
rnacentral:rRNA from 1 species